AUACGUAGGUGGCAAGCGUUGUCCGGAAUUACUGGGUGUAAAGGGAGCGCAGGUGGGAUGGAAAGUUGGAUGUUUAAUCUACGGGCUCAACCCGUAUCAGCAUUCAAAACUAUCGUUCUUGAGUGGAGUAGAGGCAGGCGGAAUUCCAGGUGUAGCGGUGGAAUGCGUAGAUAUCUGGAGGAACACCAGUGGCGAAGGCGGCCUGCUGGGCUCUAACUGACACUGAGGCUCGAAAGCGUGGGUAGCAAACAGGAUUAGAUACCCUGGUAGUCCACGCCGUAAACGAUGAUUACUAGGUGUGGGGGGACUGACCCCCUCCGUGCCGCAGUUAACACAAUAAGUAAUCCACCUGGGGAGUACGACCGCAAGGUUGAA
rnacentral:rRNA from 1 species